rnacentral:ncRNA from 2 species
UGAGUAUUACAUCAGGUACUGG